UACGUAGGGUGCGAGCGUUAAUCGGAAUUACUGGGCGUAAAGUGUGCGCAGGUGGCCGCGCAAGUCGAGUGUGAAAUCCCCGGGCUUAACCUGGGAACUGCGUUUGAAACUGGAAGGCUAGAGUGUGGCAGAGGGGGGUGGAAUUCCACGUGUAGCAGUGAAAUGCGUAGAUAUGUGGAGGAACACCGAUGGCGAAGGCAGCCCCCCUGGGCUAACACUGACGCUCAUGCACGAAAGCGUGGGGAGCAAGCAGG
rnacentral:rRNA from 1 species